GAUGAAGAACGUAGCGAAAUGCGAUAAGUAAUGUGAAUUGCAGAAUUCAGUGAAUCAUCGAAUCUUUGAACGCACAUUGCGCCCGCUGGUAUUCCGGCGGGCAUGCCUGUUCGAGCGUCAUUUCAACCCUCAAGCUCUCCGGAGUUUGGUGUUGGGGCGCCUGGGGCUUUUCGACCUCAGGGCCCUCAAGUCCAUCGGCGGGACCGCCAGGACACUGAGCGCAGUAGUAUUAUUUCGCUCGGUAGGAUCUUCCACGGCGGGUCGAUCUGGCCGCUAAACCCCCCAAUUCUCACCAAAGGUUGACCUCGGAUCAGGUAGGGAUACCCGCUGAACUUAAGCAUAUCAAUAAGCGGAGGA
rnacentral:misc_RNA from 1 species